UAUUUAAUCGACUACUGACUUGCUUGCUACGCACUUAAAUCUUAAGCUGUGUUAUCAAAGAUGACAUAUUAAUUAAACACAGUUGGUGAUAAAAUGUGUUAUAUUAAUUGAAAGCUAAAUAGAAUUUGAUUAUCAAUGCUGAUAAAUUUUAAUAUCAUUAAGGAACAUUUUUAUUAUAAAAAUUAUAUUAAAAAAAUUUAGAUACAUAUAAGAAGCAUUUUUUAAUAUCAAUGUGAUUGUAAUAAAUUUUAUUUUUUGAUCCAGUAUUUAGUUUCACAUGGUUAUGGUUUCAAUUCGCUUCUUGAAUUUGUCGCUUUAAAAUCGUAGUAAUCGAUACUUCAGUUUAUCGAAUAUGGCGACAGGUGAAGUGAUAGGUUAACUUUUCUUUUUAAAUUCAUUUUAUUUUAUUAUUUAAACUACACGUAAUUAUAAAAUUUAUCAUUUACAUAUAUAAUAUUACAAUUACAUUAUCAUAUUCAGAUAUUGUAUGAUUUUGUUUUUAUUAUUAUGAAUAAAGAAUAAGGUUAUAUAUAUAUAUAUAUUUUAUAUUAAAUAUGUUAUUAUUAUAUAUUAAAUUAAUUAUUAAUAUUGAAA